rnacentral:rRNA from 1 species
GAUGAACGCUGGCGGCGUGCCUAAUACAUGCAAGUCGAGCGAACAGACGAGGAGCUUGCUCCUCUGACGUUAGCGGCGGACGGGUGAGUAACACGUGGAUAACCUACCUAUAAGACUGGGAUAACUUCGGGAAACCGGAGCUAAUACCGGAUAAUAUAUUGAACCGCAUGGUUCAAUAGUGAAAGACGGUUUUGCUGUCACUUAUAGAUGGAUCCGCGCCGCAUUAGCUAGUUGGUAAGGUAACGGCUUACCAAGGCAACGAUGCGUAGCCGACCUGAGAGGGUGAUCGGCCACCCUGGAACUGAGACACGGUCCAGACUCCUACGGGAGGCAGCAGUAGGGAAUCUACCGCAAUGGGCGAAAGCCUGACGGAGCAACGCCGCGUGAGUGAUGAAGGUCUUCGGAUCGUAAAACUCUGUUAUUAGGGAAGAACAAAUGUGUAAGUAACUAUGCACGUCUUGACGGUACCUAAUCAGAAAGCCACGGCUAACUACGUG